CAACUCAAACCAGAAGCCUGAAUCUGAGGAGGACAUUGCUGUGGUAACAGUCAACGCUAUUUAUGAAGAGUAUCCCUUUAAAGCGCGACCUCACGUUGAGGACUCUGCCGAACAACCACCAAUCGGUCCAUGUUUCAGCAGUAAUAUCCCCUUGAUGAGGGUGGUGCAGUCAGUUAAACAAACUAAGAGGAGAUCCAGUGGAAUAUUGAAGAAAGGCUGGCUGUUGCACCAUACCAAUGUAGAUACACUGAGAAAAAGGCACUACUGGGUUCUAGAUGGGAAAAGCAUCACACUGUACCAGAACAAGAACAGCAACAAGUACUACAAGGUGCUCCCU